rnacentral:rRNA from 1 species
GAUGAACGCUGGCGGCGUGCCUAAUACAUGCAAGUCGAGCGAACAGACGAGGAGCUUGCUCCUCUGACGUUAGCGGCGGAUGGGUGAGUAACACGUGGAUAACCUACCUAUAAGACUGGGAUAACUUCGGGAAACCGGAGCUAAUACCGGAUAAUAUAUUGAACCGCAUGGUUCAAUAGUGAAAGACGGUUUUGCUGUCACUUAUAGAUGGAUCCGCGCCGCAUUAGCUAGUUGGUAAGGUAACGGCUUACCAAGGCGACGAUGCGUAGCCGACCUGAGAGGGUGAUCGGCCACACUGGAACUGAGACACGGUCCAGACUCCUACGGGAGGCAGCAGUAGGGACUCUUCCGCAAUGGGCGAAAGCCUAACGGAGCACCGCCGCGUGAGUGAUGAAGGUCUUCGGCUCGUAAAACUCUGUUAUUAGGGAAGAACAACUGUGUAAGUAACUAUGCACGUCUUGACGGUACCUAAUCAGCACGCCACGGCUAACUACGUG